GGGAAGGAGAAGGCUGGGGACGAUUUGUUCAGCUCUGGUGGUAAAGGCAGCCCCAGACUUCUGGAGUCCAAGAUAGAAGCCGAGUUAAACUACGUUCUUUUCUUCUGCGUUUUGCCUUCUCUUCCAGGGCAUUCUUUGCGCGCUCCGCUGGAUUUACAGGAAGUGGGAGCUGCGCCUCGGCAUUAAUCUGGGUCAGAAAUCACCCUCGUCCAGGUCCCCACCGAGCUCCAUUCUGAGGCUCGAGGUCCCAGCCCUCCAGGGGCCGGGCUUUGAGGAGCGGACUGGCAGGGUUGAUUUACUUGCCGGAGGCUCAGCGGCAAGCUGGAGGGACGUUGGGUGGAAAAGGACGCUUUAGACAAAUCUGAUUCAUUCUCUCUGACCAAGUCCCCGCAACAGUUACAACUGGUUGUCUCUGAUGAUUGAACAACUGGACGUUCUCUGCAGAAUCCUCCUAAGAAGAGUGCGUGAUCACUGUUGCCCAUUUAGGAAGAAGAGAUUUGUGAGAGCAAGACUUGUGAAGCUUUACAGAGGAUUAUAAUUGAUCAAAGAAAAGAAAUUUGAAACACACAGAGAGAUUUAGUAAUUUGCUGAAGAUCACACAGUAAAUAGAAGAGCUGACAUUUGAACUGGGUCUGACACCAGAGCCAGCACUCCUGAUUACCAUGUAGGUACAUAAAUUCAGUGUUCAUGGUAACCUUUCAAGGUAGGUAUUAUAAUUUCCAUUUUCUAUAUGAGGAACCUAAGCUUCAGAGAGGCUAAGCAACUUGCUCAAGACCCUACGCAAUUAACAGGUUCUGGAGCCCCAGUUUGAUUCCAGGCCUGACAAGCUGCAAGACCUCCACAAUUUUUAGUUGACCAUUGCUAUGGACUCAAUGUUUGUGUCUCCCCUGCUCCUCAGAAAAAAACCCUUAUGUGUUGAAACCUCAUCCCCAAUGUGAUGGUGUCUGGAGGUAGGGUCUUUCAGAGGUAACUAGGUCUCGGGAUACAGCUCAAGAAUGGGAUUAGUACUCAUCUAAAAGAGGCCUGGAGAAGACCCCUCAUCCUUUCACCCAGUAAGGUUACUGUGAAAAGACAGUGGUCUACGAGGAAGAGAGUUUUCACCAGACACUGAAUGAACUGUCACCUUGGUCUUGGACUUCCUUGCCUGAAGAACUGUGAGAAAUAAAUUUCUGUUUA